GGCAAGAAAUGCAGUGUUCGAGCCCUAUGAGGAGCUGAAACUCAGAACCUGGGAGUUGCUCAGCAUGGAGUGCUAACUACCUCCCAGCUGCCGACCAGACCAUGUGUCCUACACUUACUAACGUGUAAGCAAGAACUUCAUAGAGCACAAUUAGUCAACAUUGCGACUGCCAUCUCUCCACCUGACACUGACCAGGCAGGAGGUCACGACACAGGUCAAGCACCGAGAUAACCGCUAUGAAAAUACCCAUAACAUGUAGAAGAGAAAAGAUGGAGUCGGGGUGCAGGUCCUUGGAAAGAAGAGGGGUACACAGCAGCCCAGGCAGAAAGUGAGUCACAUUUUGAACAGCCUCUAUCUGGGCUUUUCCCAAGCUUUAUUGAGUUAUA